UACGUAGGGUGCGAGCGUUUAAUCGGAAUUACUGGGCGUAAAGCGUGCGCAGGCUGUUCUGUAAGUCAGAUGUGAAAUCCCCGAGCUCAACUUGGGAACUGCGUUUGAAACUACAGGACUAGAAUAUGUCGAGAGGGGGGUAGAAUUCCACGUGUAGCAGUGAAAUGCGUAGAGAUGUGGAGGAAUACCAAUGGCGAAGGCAGCCCCCUGGGAUAAUAUUGACGCUCAUGGCACGAAAGCGUGGGGAGCAAACAGG
rnacentral:rRNA from 1 species